AACGAACGCUGGCGGCAUGCCUAACACAUGCAAGUCGAACGAGACCUUCGGGUCUAGAGGCGCACGGGUGCGUAACGCGUGGGAACCUGCCCUUAGGUUCGGAAUAACUCCCCGAAAGGGGUGCUAAUACCGGAUAAUGUCUUCGGACCAAAGAUUUAUCGCCUUUGGAUGGGCCCGCGUUGGAUUAGCUAGUUGGUAGGGUAAAAGCCUACCAAGGCGACGAUCCAUAGCUGGUCUGAGAGGAUGAUCAGCCACACUGGGACUGAGACACGGCCCAGACUCCUACGGGAGGCAGCAGUGGGGAAUAUAGGACAAUGGGCGAAAGCCUGAUCCAGCAAUGCCGCGUGAGUGAUGAAGGCAUUAGGGUUGUAAAGCUCUUUUACCCGGGAUGAUAAUGACAGUACCGGGAGAAUAAGCUCCGGCUAACUCCGUG
rnacentral:rRNA from 1 species